AAUAGAUACCCCGGUAGUCCACGCCGUAAACGAUGAGUGCUAAGUGUUAGAGGGUUUCCGCCCUUUAGUGCUGAAGUUAACGCAUUAAGCACUCCGCCUGGGGAGUACGGCCGCAAGGCUGAAACUCAAAGGAAUUGACGGGGGCCCGCACAAGCGGUGGAGCAUGUGGUUUAAUUCGAAGCAACGCGAAGAACCUUACCAGGUCUUGACAUCCUCUGACAACCCUAGAGAUAGGGCUCCUCCUUCGGGAGCAGAGUGACAGGUGGUGCAUGGUUGUCGUCAGCUCGUGUCGUGAGAUGUUGGGUUAAGUCCCGCAACGAGCGCAACCCUUGAUCUUAGUUGCCAUCAUUAAGUUGGGCACUCUAAGGUGACUGCCGGUGACAAACCGGAGGAAGGUGGGGAUGACGUCAAAUCAUCAUGCCCCUUAUGACCUGGGCUACACACGUGCUACAAUGGACGGUACAAAGAGCUGCAGGACCGCGAGGUGGAGCUAAUCUCAUAAAACCGUUCUCAGUUCGGA
rnacentral:rRNA from 1 species